CCAAUAGCGUAUAUUAAAGUUGCUGCAGUUAAAAAGCUCGUAGUUGAAUUUCGGGACCAAUAUGUCGGUCGUGCUUCGGUACGUACUGUCAUAAUUGGUUUCUCCCUUCUGAAGAACCUUGAUGUCAUUAAUUUGGUGUCUUGGGGAAUCAGGACUGUUACUUUGAAAAAAUUAGAGUGUUUAAAGCAGGCUCGCGCUUGAAUACAUUAGCAUGGAAUAAUGAAAUAGGACGUUUGAUUCUAUUUUGUUGGUUUCUAGGAUCGACGUAAUGAUUAAUAGGGAUAGUUGGGGGCAUUAGUAUUCAAUUGUCAGAGGUGAAAUUCUUGGAUUUAUUGAAGACUAACUACUGCGAAAGCAUUUGCCAAGGAUGUUUUCAUUAAUCAAGAACGAAAGUUAGGGGAUCGAAGACGAUCAGAUACCGUCGUAGUCUUAACCAUAAACUAUGCCGACUAGGGAUCGGAUGAUGUUAAUUUUUUAAUGACUCAUUCGGCGCCUUAC
rnacentral:rRNA from 1 species